UGGGGAAUUUUGGACAAUGGGGGCAACCCUGAUCCAGCCAUGCCGCGUGAGUGAAGAAGGCCUUCGGGUUGUAAAGCUCUUUUGUCAGGGAAGAAACGGUAGUAGCGAAUAACUACUACUAAUGACGGUACCUGAAGAAUAAGCACCGGCUAACUACGUGCCAGCAGCCGCGGUAAUACGUAGGGUGCAAGCGUUAAUCGGAAUUACUGGGCGUAAAGCGUGCGCAGGCGGUUGUGUAAGUCAGAUGUGAAAUCCCCGGGCUCAACCUGGGAAUUGCAUUUGAGACUGCACGGCUAGAGUGUGUCAGAGGGGGGUAGAAUUCCACGUGUAGCAGUGAAAUGCGUAGAUAUGUGGAGGAAUACCGAUGGCGAAGGCAGCCCCCUGGGAUAACACUGACGCUCAUGCACGAAAGCUAGGGUAGCGAACGGGAUUAGAUACCCAUGUAGUCCCUGAGCGGGCUGGCAAGGCGCAU
rnacentral:rRNA from 1 species